rnacentral:lncRNA from 1 species
CAUGUUAUGCAUAUUUUAACAAUUUCAGAAAGAACCAUCACUGAAGAAGUGGAAGAAGGCAUGGGAAUGUCUUAUACACAGUUUACAACUUGAAUGUUGUUUUGAUGUGAACCCUGUCCCUCAGGAAGGAGAUAGCAUGCCUCCAAGUCCCUAACACAGAUCACGACUGAGCACUCAGGCCUGGCAACUCUACAAUAACACAACCACACAGCCAGGGUACUUAGGCUGUUAUCUUCAGUCCCUAUUUUUUUCAGAAAUUCUCAAUUUGAUGUGUCAUCCCCUGCACCAUGGCAAGCGUGAAGAAUGAGAAGAAAGUGGGUAUCAUAUACUGUGGCGGAACCUUCCCCUAAUGAAUAAAGAUUUCAAGGGACCAAUCACUGGGCGAGAAACUAGUAUUCAAUUUUCGUAAUCUAUUUUAGUUAUAAAUCCUCCAGUGGCACAUCCCAGCGGAUCCGCCACUUAAACCAGGGGCCUCUCGCUACCUACAUUACGUCUUCAUGCUCUCUCCGGUCCAAAAAAUAAGUUUCUUUCUCUUGCCUCCCCUCUUCCUCUCUCGGACCCGGAAGUCCCGC